rnacentral:rRNA from 1 species
AGAGUUUGCUUUUGGCUCAGGAUGAACGCUAGCGACAGGCCUAACACAUGCAAGUCGAGGGGCAUCGGGGCGAGGAGCAAUCCUUGCCGCCGGCGACCGGCGCACGGGUGAGUAACGCGUAUGCGACCUGCCCGUUGCAGGGGGAUAAUCGGGAGAAAUCCCGUCUAAUACCGCGUAAUGCCGCGGGGCUGCAUGGCCCUGCGGCCAAAGGGAGCGAUUCCGGCAACGGAUGGGCAUGCGUGACAUUAGCUAGUUGGCGGGGCAACGGCCCACCAAGGCGACGAUGUCUAGGGGUUCUGAGAGGAAGGUCCCCCACACUGGUACUGAGACACGGACCAGACUCCUACGGGAGGCAGCAGUGAGGAAUAUUGGUCAAUGGGCGCGAGCCUGAACCAGCCAAGUCGCGUGAGGGAUGACGGCCCUACGGGUUGUAAACCUCUUUUGUCGGGGAGCAAAUUCCGCCACGUGUGGCGGAGUCGAGAGUACCCGAAGAAAAAGCAUCGGCUAACUCCGUGCCAGCAGCCGCGGUAAUACGGAGGAUGCGAGCGUUAUCCGGAUUUUAUUGGGUUUAAAGGGUGCGUAGGCGGACUGUCAAGUCAGCGGUAAAAUACGGGGGCUCAACCUCCGUCCGCCGUUGAAACUGACGGUCUUUGAGUGGGCGAGAAGUAUGCGGAAUGCGUGGUGUAGCGGUGAAAUGCAUAGAUAUCACGCAGAACUCCGAUUGCGAAGGCAGCAUACCGGCGCCCAACUGACGCUGAAGCACGAAAGCGUGGGUAUCGAACAGGAUUAGAUACCCUGGUAGUCCACGCAGUAAACGAUGAAUACUAGCUGUCCGGGGCGAAUGAGCCCUGGGUGGCACAGCGAAAGCGUUAAGUAUUCCACCUGGGGAGUACGCCGGCAACGGUGAAACUCAAAGGAAUUGACGGGGGCCCGCACAAGCGGAGGAACAUGUGGUUUAAUUCGAUGAUACGCGAGGAACCUUACCCGGGCUCAAACGACACAGGAACGUACCUGAAAGGGUUCGGCUCUACGGAGCCUGUGUCGAGGUGCUGCAUGGUUGUCGUCAGCUCGUGCCGUGAGGUGUCGGCUUAAGUGCCAUAACGAGCGCAACCCCCAUCGACAGUUGCUAACAGGUCAGGCUGAGGACUCUGUCGAGACUGCCGGCGCAAGCUGCGAGGAAGGCGGGGAUGACGUCAAAUCAGCACGGCCCUUACGUCCGGGGCGACACACGUGUUACAAUGGCAGGUACAGCGGGAAGCCACCUGGCGACAGGGAGCGGAACCCGAAAGCCUGUCUCAGUUCGGAUUGGAGUCUGCAACCCGACUCCAUGAAGCUGGAUUCGCUAGUAAUCGCGCAUCAGCCACGGCGCGGUGAAUACGUUCCCGGGCCUUGCACUCACCGCCCGUCA